CCUACGGGUGGCUGCAGUGGGGAAUAUUGGGCAAUGGGCGCAAGUCUGACCUAGCAACGCCGCGUGAGGGAAGAAGGCUUUCGGGUUGUAAACUUCUUUUAAGGGGGAAGAGCAGAAGACGGUACCCCUUGAAUCAGCCACGGCUAACUACGUGUCAGCAGCCGCGGUAAUGCGUAGGGGGCAAGCGUUGUGCGGAUGUACUGGGUGUAACGGGCGUGCAGCCGGAGAGGUAAGUCAGCUGUGAACGCCACGGGCUCAACCCGUGAACUGCGUUUGAAACUGUGUCCCUUGAGUGUCGGGGAGGUAAUCGGAAUUCCUUGUGUAGCGGUGAAAUGCGUAGAUAUAAGGAAGAACACCAGUGGCGAAGGCGGAUUACUGGACGAUAACUGACGGUGAGGCGCGAAAGCGUGGGGAGCAAACAGGAUUAGAUACCCUAGUAGUC
rnacentral:rRNA from 1 species